UAGGUGUGGUUGACUUCACUGUUCUGUAAACUCUCUACAAGAAAUUGGAAUUUUAAGUUACUUUAUACAGAUAAGUGGCUCUAAGUUUUAAACUUUUAUAAUAAGGGCAUAACACCCUAUGGAAGAAAGAUGAGCAGGUGGAUUUCUGAAUGAAGAAGAGACCUUGGAAAGAUCAUCAAAGUUUCUUUAGAGCAGAAGGGUAUCCUGCCUCAGGACAUUUGUAUGUAUUACAUACAUACACCACCAAAAGGAACUUUUUAACCAGUACCCUAUCCGGGGAUGUAAAGUCAACACAAGUAAUCAACAGUUCAGCACAGGCAACUGCCGGGUAAACUAAUACAGUACGCAGCGGGCGAUGAAGACCUUCCGGAGAUCUGAAGCUGCAGGGUGGGUAAAUCAUACCAAGCAUGCUUGGGGUGAGAUGUUGCAAUGUGGAAUAAAUGGGCCAACGCUCCGACUCGGAAUAAGACGGCUUGAUCGGCAGGGAACAACAGGUGUGCAUCACCCACCCCGGACAUUUACAGCUCCUGCCACCGCCAGCCACCACCACCCCCUUCAGAGCGAGGCGAGAGGGGUGCUCUGCACCUGGACGGGCCAGUUCUGGCUGAUCUACCUCCAGAGGGAACAGACCCACCAUCCCCACGAAGCCAGAAAGCUCUAGGGGACCCGCCGGCUGCAGUCCGGACCAACCCAACCCAAGAGCAACUAAAAGAAGAGUACCUCCAGGACGCCGUCGCUGCUGCUGCUGCUGCUUCGGUCCUCGGUCGCUGCCCGCUCCUCCUCGUCCAUACCUGGGGAAGCCGGGGGUGGGGGGUUCCUCCAAGACUUCGGAAAGGCUUUUCCAACUGUCGCACAACCACCAGAGACCAAAAAACAACUUCCAGCCAAUAGCCUUGCUCAUCAAAACUUGUUGUCCAAUUAGGAAACACCUCCGAUAUCCGAGAGUCAAUCCUGCCUACGCACCCCACUAUUGGAGACCGGCAGUUCCAAGUAACCAAUAGGGAUUCUGGAGGAGCAGACAAUAACAGAUUCGGAGACUGAGCCGGCCCCAGAGAUAGGAAAGCUCUAGAGUAACAUUUGCAGCAAACUCGAGCUAUUCCCCCCCCCCGUCUCGAGGCGGAAGUGAGAAGCUGCCUAUGAAGAACAAAGAACGCGAGGAUUUUAUUGCAGCUGUAAAUGGAUACCGAUAUGUCGUCGUCCUGUCCCAAACAAAAAGUACCAGCAAAGGCAGCCGUUCCUGCUCAAAUUGACUCUCAUGUCUCAUUUCGGGUGGAAAAUGUGCUUUCCCACCAUCACUCCAGUUCUUAAACAUGUAAAAAUACUCCUGCGGAUAUAAAUUCCAGAGCCAACACAAUUAUCCCCAGAUUGUAGGCAACAGAGGCCGAGAAUCGCUGCAAUGUACUCCAUACUGUAGGUUAGAGAUGAGGCUGCUGAGGUUGGCUUGGAAUUGGAUUCCCCAUUAAAAAUCAGAUCCCUUCCCAAACUCUAACCCAGCUCUGUUGCAUGCGCAAGCCUUGUGCCGUUGUGUGUUUAUAAAGUUAAAAUACACAUUAAUACGAAAGUUUACCAAA